GAUGAAUGAAACGGAGACACUUAGCCUUUUUGUGAUUUUUUUUCCUUCUGAAAGUUCGAUUCUUUCGAAGCCAACUUCAUUAAUAUAUUAUCUUGAAACAAAGAGUGAUAUUCUCUUUGUUGCUGAAAACAGAUGUGAAGUAAGGGAAAAAGAAAUUGAGAUCAAGGAAAUGAAGGAGCAAAUGACGGAAAUGAAGGAGCAAAUGACGGAGCUUGUGGGCAUCCUUCGACACAGUGAAUCACGCAGGAGGGAACUUGAAAAGCAGAGCAAGCAGAAAG
rnacentral:lncRNA from 1 species